rnacentral:rRNA from 2 species
UUGAUCCUGGCUCAGGACGAACGCUGGCGGCGUGCCUAAUACAUGCAAGUCGAACGAACUCUGGUAUUGAUUGGUGCUUGCAUCAUGAUUUACAUUUGAGUGAGUGGCGAACUGGUGAGUAACACGUGGGAAACCUGCCCAGAAGCGGGGGAUAACACCUGGAAACAGAUGCUAAUACCGCAUAACAACUUGGACCGCAUGGUCCNAGUUUGAAAGAUGGCUUCGGCUAUCACUUUUGGAUGGUCCCGCGGCGUAUUAGCUAGAUGGUGNGGUAACGGCUCACCAUGGCAAUGAUACGUAGCCGACCUGAGAGGGUAAUCGGCCACAUUGGGACUGAGACACGGCCCAAACUCCUACGGGAGGCAGCAGUAGGGAAUCUUCCACAAUGGACGAAAGUCUGAUGGAGCAACGCCGCGUGAGUGAAGAAGGGUUUCGGCUCGUAAAACUCUGUUGUUAAAGAAGA